rnacentral:rRNA from 1 species
GAUGAACGCUGGCGGCGUGCCUAAUACAUGCAAGUCGAGCGAACAGAUGAGGAGCUUGCUCCUCUGACGUUAGCGGCGGACGGGUGAGUAACACGUGGAUAACCUACCUAUAAGACUGGGAUAACUUCGGGAAACCGGAGCUAAUACCGGAUAAUAUAUUGAACCGCAUGGUUCAAUAGUGAAAGACGGUUUUGCUGUCACUUAUAGAUGGAUCCGCGCCGCAUUAGCUAGUUGGUAAGGUAACGGCUUACCAAGGCAACGAUGCAUAGCCGACCUGAGAGGGUGGUCGGCGAGAUGGGAAGUGAGACAGAGUACAGACACCGGCAGGGAGCAACAGUCGAGAAUCUUACGGGAGGGAGGAGAGGCGAAUGUGGCAAAGCCGCGGAAAGGAUGAAGGUGUUAUGAUCGGGGAACGCUGUUAGUAUGAAAGAACAAAUGUGUAAGUAACUGGGAACAUAAUGACGGUACCUAAUCAAAAAGCCACGGCUAACUACGUG